CUUCACGGAGCCGAGCAGCAGGGGGCGGUCCGGAUCGCGGUCCUGCCCGUACGUCGCCAGCAGCGCCUGCGCCUC
rnacentral:antisense_RNA from 1 species